AAGUCGAACGGCAGCACGGGUGCCUGCACCUGGUGGCGAGUGGCGAACGGGUGAGUAAUACAUCGGAACAUGUCCUGUAGUGGGGGAUAGCCCGGCGAAAGCCGGAUUAAUACCGCAUACGAUCUGAGGAUGAAAGCGGGGGACCUUCGGGCCUCGCGCUAUAGGGUUGGCCGAUGGCUGAUUAGCUAGUUGGUGGGGUAAAGGCCCACCAAGGCGACGAUCAGUAGCUGGUCUGAGAGGACGACCAGCCACACUGGGACUGAGACACGGCCCAGACUCCUACGGGAGGCAGCAGUGGGGAAUUUUGGACAAUGGGCGAAAGCCUGAUCCAGCAAUGCCGCGUGUGUGAAGAAGGCCUUCGGGUUGUAAAGCACUUUUGUCCGGAAAGAAAUCCUUGGUUCUAAUAUAGCCGGGGGAUGACGGUACCGGAAGAAUAAGCACCGGCUAACUACGUGCCAGCAGCCGCGGUAAUACGUAGGGUGCAAGCGUUAAUCGGAAUUACUGGGCGUAAAGCGUGCGCAGGCGGUUUGCUAAGACCGAUGUGAAAUCCCCGGGCUCAACCUGGGAACUGCAUUGGUGACUGGCCGGCUAGAGUAUGGCAGAGGGGGGUAGAAUUCCACGUGUAGCAGUGAAAUGCGUAGAGAUGUGGAGGAAUACCGAUGGCGAANGCAGCCCCCUGGGCCAAUACUGACGCUCAUGCACGAAAGCGUGGGGAGCAAACNNGAUUAGAUACCCUGGUANUCCACGCCCUAA
rnacentral:rRNA from 1 species